GACGAACGCUGGCGGCGUGCCUAAUACAUGCAAGUCGAGCGGACCAAAGGGAGCUUGCUCCUGGAGGUUAGCGGCGAACGGGUGAGUAACACGUGGGCAACCUGCCUGUAAGACUGGGAUAACAUCGAGAAAUCGGUGCUAAUACCGGAUAAUAAAAAGAACUGCAUGGUUCUUUUUUGAAAGAUGGUUUCGGCUAUCACUUACAGAUGGGCCCGCGGCGCAUUAGCUAGUUGGUGAGGUAACGGCUCACCAAGGCAACGAUGCGUAGCCGACCUGAGAGGGUGAUCGGCCACACUGGGACUGAGACACGGCCCAGACUCCUACGGGAGGCAGCAGUAGGGAAUCUUCCGCAAUGGACGAAAGUCUGACGGAGCAACGCCGCGUGAGUGAUGAAGGUUUUCGGAUCGUAAAACUCUGUUGUUAGGGAAGAACAAGUGCCGUUCGAAAGGGCGGCACCUUGACGGUACCUAACGAGAAGCCACGGCUAACUACGUGCCAGCAGCCGCGGUAAAGUC
rnacentral:rRNA from 1 species